rnacentral:rRNA from 1 species
CGAAUGCUGACAUAAGUAACGAUAAAGCGGGUGAAAAGCCCGCUCGCCGGAAGACCAAGGGUUCCUGUCCAACGUUAAUCGGGGCAGGGUGAGUCGACCCCUAAGGCGAGGCCGAAAGGCGUAGUCGAUGGGAAACAGGUUAAUAUUCCUGUACUUGGUGUUACUGCGAAGGGGGGACGGAGAAGGCUAUGUUGGCCGGGCGACGGUUGUCCCGGUUUAAGCGUGUAGGCUGGUUUUCCAGGCAAAUCCGGAAAAUCAAGGCUGAGGCGUGAUGACGAGGCACUACGGUGCUGAAGCAACAAAUGCCCUGCUUCCAGGAAAAGCCUCUAAGCAUCAGGUAACAUCAAAUCGUACCCCAAACCGACACAGGUGGUCAGGUAGAGAAUACCAAGGCGCUUGAGAGAACUCGGGUGAAGGAACUAGGCAAAAUGGUGCCGUAACUUCGGGAGAAGGCACGCUGAUAUGUAGGUGAAGCGACUUGCUCGUGGAGCUGAAAUCAGUCGAAGAUACCAGCUGGCUGCAACUGUUUAUUAAAAACACAGCACUGUGCAAACACGAAAGUGGACGUAUACGGUGUGACGCCUGCCCGGUGCCGGAAGGUUAAUUGAUGGGGUCAGCGCAAGCGAAGCUCUUGAUCGAAGCCCCGGUAAACGGCGGCCGUAACUAUAACGGUCCUAAGGUAGCGAAAUUCCUUGUCGGGUAAGUUCCGACCUGCACGAAUGGCGUAAUGAUGGCCAGGCUGUCUCCACCCGAGACUCAGUGAAAUUGAACUCGCUGUGAAGAUGCAGUGUACCCGCGGCAAGACGGAAAGACCCCGUGAACCUUUACUAUAGCUUGACACUGAACAUUGAGCCUUGAUGUGUAGGAUAGGUGGGAGGCUUUGAAGUGUGGACGCCAGUCUGCAUGGAGCCGACCUUGAAAUACCACCCUUUAAUGUUUGAUGUUCUAACGUUGACCCGUAAUCCGGGUUGCGGACAGUGUCUGGUGGGUAGUUUGACUGGGGCGGUCUCCUCCUAAAGAGUAACGGAGGAGCACGAAGGUUGGCUAAUCCUGGUCGGACAUCAGGAGGUUAGUGCAAUGGCAUAAGCCAGCUUGACUGCGAGCGUGACGGCGCGAGCAGGUGCGAAAGCAGGUCAUAGUGAUCCGGUGGUUCUGAAUGGAAGGGCCAUCGCUCAACGGAUAAAAGGUACUCCGGGGAUAACAGGCUGAUACCGCCCAAGAGUUCAUAUCGACGGCGGUGUUUGGCACCUCGAUGUCGGCUCAUCACAUCCUGGGGCUGAAGUAGGUCCCAAGGGUAUGGCUGUUCGCCAUUUAAAGUGGUACGCGAGCUGGGUUUAGAACGUCGUGAGACAGUUCGGUCCCUA